AACGCGAAGAACCUUACCCAGACUUGACAUGCAGAGGAAUAUCGCAGAGAUGUGAUAGCCCUUCGGGGCUUCUGCACAGGUGCUGCAUGGCUGUCGUCAGCUCGUGCCGUGAGGUGUUUGGUUAAGUCCAGCAACGAGCGCAACCCUUAUCAUUAGUUGCCAACAUAUAAGAUGGGAACUCUAAUGAGACUGCCUAGGUUAACUAGGAGGAAGGUGAGGAUGACGUCAAGUCCGCAUGGCCCUUAUGUCUGGGGCUACACACGUGCUACAAUGGUCGGUACAGAAGGCAGCAAAGCCGCGAGGCGAAGCAAAUCCCAAAAACCGAUCUCAGUUCAGAUUGUAGUCUGCAACUCGACUACAUGAAGACGGAAUUGCUAGUAAUGGCGUGUCAGCAACAACGCCGUGAAUACGUUCCCGGGCCUUGUACACACCGGAGUA
rnacentral:rRNA from 1 species